rnacentral:lncRNA from 1 species
GAUUCCAAAAAAAAAAAUUUGAACGAAUGGUAGUUUGGGAAAUACGGAGUGAAUGGAUGGUAGAUUGGAAUAUAUUUCUUUAAAACAUGGUAUUACUGUAAAAAAUUCGCAAAAAGCAGUUCAGACAGUAGCAACAAUUGAUAGGUGGGAUUCAGUACAAUGCCAAGUAGGUUUAAUCCAAAGUGAUCAACUAACCACAACCAGGAUUUAUUAACAGCACCUGUGAAGACAAACAAGGAUGGAAGGGUCUCAGCAUUGGCCAUGAAAGUUGGAAGCAACAUAUUGACUUUUUUGGUUUUAAUUCAAAUUAAUAUGCUAACAGUAACAAAUUGAAAAACCCAUCCAAUUAAUGAGUGCAAGCAACUGCAUCACGGUCAUUGUAAAACACAAAUUCAAUUUAAAUGCACAUGAAAUUCAACUCAGGACCAUUUUAAAACUAACUAAAACUAACUAAUUCCAAGUCCUAACUAACAUUUCCAACUAACUAUUACAGUAAUAACUAACUUUUGAUUUCAGGUGAAUUUAAGGUGCAUUUCACUAACACUUAGGUGAGAUUUCUAACUGAAUUUGUAGAAGAAAAAGGCUAUAAAUACUCACAGGGUGCAGACUGGAGAGGGAUCGGUUUUUCACCAGAGAAAUCCAUAACUAAAAUCUGCAAAGUCUUUCAUUCUCUUGGUUCUCCUUCUUUUGACUUCCUCAAUUCUGCAAUCAUUUAUGCAUCUUCAACAUUGAGCUUGCAAUUCCACAAGCGUAUCAAUCAGCGUCGGGGAAAUCCGCAACAAUCAAGAAAAAGAAGAACACGAAGGAGAAGAAGUGCAGAGUACAGCGCUUACCUUGGACUUCAUCGUCGUUGCCACCGUUAGCCUCGUCUCCUCCGGCAUGUAGGUAUGAUUCUUGAUCUGUUUCGCUUCUUUUUCUCACCAAUAUGUAGGAUAGGGGUGGGGGAAUUAAAGCCCUAACCAUUU